GGUCCGGCUAAUUACGUGCCAGCAGCCGCGGUAAUACGUAAGGACCGAGCGUUGUCCGGAAUCAUUGGGCGUAAAGGGUACGUAGGCGGUCUAGUAAGUUAGGAGUGAAAUCCAAUAGCUCAACUAUUGUAAGCUUCUAAAACUGCUAGACUUGAGAGAUUGAGGGGGAAGUGGAAUUCCUAGUGUAGCGGUGAAAUGCGCAGAUAUUAGGAGGAAUACCAGUGGCGAAGGCGACUUUCUGGCAAUCAUCUGACGCUGAGGUACGAAAGCGUGGGUAGCAAACAGGAUUAGAUACCCUGGUAGUCCACGCCGUAAACGAUGAGUGUUAGGUGCCUGGUGUGAAACUGGGUGCCGCAGCAAACGCAUUAAACACUCCGCCUGGGGAGUACGCACGCA
rnacentral:rRNA from 1 species